CACUCCUCCCUAACCUCAUAUAAGGGCUGGCAGACACAAGGGAAGUACCUCUACUUGGUGAUUUCCUCCUUUGGAGCGUUUGGUGAGCCCUGAUCCUCAGAAAGGGGACUAGAGAUACCUACGAAGAACAGAAGACUUAACAAGCAGUUAUCCACUUUGAAGUGACUGAAGGCUCAGAUGUUGAGGAUGGACUCUCUCCAGCUGAUGCUCACGUGAAGAUAUAAAUAUUAAAUCAGGAACUCUUAUCAUAGUCAAACUCAUACCAGCCUGUCAGCAAAAUUUUUGUUCUUCUCUAAACUUGUUCAUUGAAUAGGUAGUCAAAUAUAUCUAAACUUGUCUUAGAAAUGCAAAUGCAAAUCUUAUUUUACUACGUUAGUAUUUAUCAUUCACCCUAGAACUAAAAUAACAAUUUGAAGAAUGGACGCGUAAAUGUAAAGUCUUUGGAUGUUCUGAGUUCACUUUGAACUGCUAAGGUAUUAGCAGCGUGCAUUAUAUUACAAUGUAAAUGAUAUUUAGACUUUGACACUGUUAAUGAGACUUUAUUUUUCCAAAUGCCAGCCAAUUUUUUCAUUUGUUUUAACUUUCUCCCACCUUGUUCUUCUUUCAUUUCUCAGGAAAAUCUUUUUGCACAGUGUGAAUAUUGUAGCUUUAACUGGAACGAUAGAUUCAGGACAAAAACUUAAAUCUCUACGAAGCAUAUGCCUCUAUACUGCAUAUCCCUGGUACAGAAAAUAAAACAGCAUCAUCCUUAUCAGGACUAUUAAAAAUAUAUUUAUGCUUUCUAGAUGUUUAGAUUCCCUAUUUUAAAUGAUUUGAUUUCAUUGAAGUCUUUUUUUUUUUUUUAGAUCUCAUUAAAAUGAAAGCUAAGAAAUUUUAGACUGAUAGGCCAGCAGCAAAUACAGUUAAAAAAAAAAAGAAAACAUUGUUAUGCAACUCUGCAAAUGAACUAGUGAUGCAAACUUUCUAAUAGGCUAGUUCUGCAGGUCACAUCUGGACUUAAUUACAGUUCCUAAGAAAUUGCUGCUGUCUCUGGAAGAAUUCAGUAAUAAACUUCUGACUUGCAAAAUCACCACUUAUGAUGUAGGUGGAAACAAGCUGCAAAAAGAAUCAGGAAACAAUGCAAGUGUCUUCAGGUUAUUUAUUUAUAUCUUGGGGAGGAAUUAUUGCUAUAGAUUUUUAGAUGUAUGUAUUCUUUACAUUAGGAACUUGAAAAGCUUUUUUCUUCAUUUCAUUGUAAGGUCUACUGCAUAAUGCAAGGAUAUGUAACUGGUUGUAUGAUGAACAUCUGAUCUUGUCAUUUUCAAUCACUUAUCAUGUGCUCUUUACCAUCUUCCUGCUUCAGUCCUCUUGAUUGAAGUCGUAACUUUUUCUCAUUUUGCUUAUAUGAAGUCUGAAUCUCUCUAACUUUUUUCUAAGCAGCUGACGAAGCUCCUUCCAGUCAGAAGAAUAAAGACAGACUUGUGU